rnacentral:rRNA from 1 species
GGAAUCUUCCACAAUGGACGAAAGUCUGAUGGAGCAACGCCGCGUGAGUGAUGAAGGGUUUCGGCUCGUAAAACUCUGUUGUUGGAGAAGAACAGGUGUCAGAGUAACUGUUGACAUCUUGACGGUAUCCAACCAGAAAGCCACGGCUAACUACGUGCCAGCAGCCGCGGUAAUACGUAGGUGGCAAGCGUUAUCCGGAUUUAUUGGGCGUAAAGCGAGCGCAGGCGGUUUGAUAAGUCUGAUGUGAAAGCCUUUGGCUUAACCAAAGAAGUGCAUCGGAAACUGUCAGACUUGAGUGCAGAAGAGGACAGUGGAACUCCAUGUGUAGCGGUGGAAUGCGUAGAUAUAUGGAAGAACACCAGUGGCGAAGGCGGCUGUCUGGUCUGCAACUGACGCUGAGGCUCGAAAGCAUGGGUAGCGAACA